rnacentral:tRNA from 1 species
GCCACGGUGAUGGAAUUGGUAUACAUCGGAGACUUAAAAUCUCCCGUCCGAAAGGGCAUACCGGUUCGAGUCCGGUCCGUGGCACCA